rnacentral:rRNA from 12 species
CAUCCUGGGAGUGCCUGAUCUUGUCAGAUCUCGGAAGCUAAGUUGGUUAG